CCCCUCUCCAGUCCUAUGUAAGCCCUUCUUUGCUGAUAUGGAAGGCAGAAAUGACAAAAUGCAGAAGGAGAGGUAUAAGCAGUGGGUGUUCCUGAGUCCAACAAGCCCUACGAAGCUGUGCAUUGCCAAACACUUGCCCUCUCUCUGCUGGAUUCUUGACUAACUUCUGCACAGGAGUGACUGAGGAGCCUCCAUACCAACGUGCACACUCACAACAGAUCACUGCAUGGUUGCAGUUGCAAAUGAUUCCUAUGGAAGAAUUGCACCACCUCACCAUUUGCUAAGCAGUCUAUCACAGUGGUAUGAAAGGAGACUGUUGCAGGUCUGAGCAAGCAGAGCUGACAGAGUAUCUCUCUGAACUGGAGAGGAUGUGCCUGGUACGGUCUGCACGUACAUGAGUGCUCAGAGAAGUUAUGUUUUCUGUGAAGUCGUUUUUAACCCUUGGAGAGGGAAAAGGGACAGUGCCCAUCACUGCUUCACACUGGUCCUCCUAACUCCUUUUGCCUUUCCAUGGAAAACAACUCCCAGCAAUGCCAAAACAAUGCCCAGCAAUGCCAAAACACUGCCUUGUGCCUUUCUCAUGAAUACAGUUGGGUGCAGCAUUGGGUUUUGCCUUCUCUGGGGUGAAAAAAUCAGCCGCAAGGGCCUGUUCCAAACCCAUCAUUACCUACAGCACAUCCCCACUGUGCACAGCUGAUCUGGGGCUGUGUUCCCGCACAGACUGCAGGCUAUUUUCAGGCAAAUCGUAAAAAAAUAAUUCUGCUUUUUCUUGACUAUUAACUUCCUCCAGAAAUAGUGAGAAUGGAGGUGAUGCUAUGGAACUCCCCGGAACAACACACCACCAAGUGAGAAAAUUGUGAAAAAGAGAAUUUCCUUUGUAAAAUAUCUAUGGCAACAUGUAAUCCACCCAAAAACACACCUAGUUUAAGAUAAGAAUGAAGCCAGUUGACUGUUUUCUGUUCUUUUCAAUGAACAGCAGCAGCUCUCAUAAAUAUUACCUGUGGGAUAAAUGAAUGCAGUGGGAGGAAAAAGGCUGCAGGUGUGACCAACAAUGUACAUGUGUGGCACGAGCUGCUGGGUUUCGAUAUUCCUCAUCCAUUACUAUUGCAGUGUUAGGUUUACUGGCCCUGCUAAGCAGCUGAGCACCUGCCUGCGCCGAGAGUGGGAGCAGGCUGUUGUCAGAUCUGUUGCAGACAAUCAAGUGAUGGUUACAAGGCAAAGUACAGUAAAACAAAUAGUUCUGAAUGCUGCGCAACCACCUCUUGUUUCAUCCAAACGACGUCUGUUUGGUUAUUUCCUUACGGUCGAACGGCUGCUCCCUGGGCAGACAGCAGAAGUCUCCUUUUACCUCGGUAAUUAGCUUGUUUUGAAAGCUCCCACAAAUUCUCCCUAUCAUAAAUUUUGCAUUGCUCCGCGCACAAUAAUGCACAUAAAAUUAAAUAAACAAUUUAAUUAAUUUAAUUAAAAUUAAAUAUUAAACAUAUUGUGUAUAAGAAGCCCGUGUCUUUGAUUUAAUUGGGCAGGAGUACCCAAAGCAGUUUGGGUAACAGUGAAAAAUAAUUAAAAACAACAAGUACGGUCGCCUCUGGGUACGAAGAGUAGUUGGGAGCUUUCUCCUGAGAAAGGUUUAUUUAAUUAAAACUAAACUAAUCUUUGGAAAACACUUGAUAAGCAUUUCAUAAUACAAAUCAUAAUCCAAAAAUGAAGCUUAUACUUCGCUUACAUGAUACAGGAAAAUAACAUUAAAUAAUUCAACUCUGCCACCAGCCACUUGCCUAUCACGGAAUAAUUCAGCAGAGAGCAUGUUUACCAUCUUUACAUUUUCUGUACUGCUCAGUUCAUCUGGAUAUUUAUUGGUAAAUUAUUGCAAGGCAUGAUGGAUCCGCGAGUGAUAAGGCUGAGGGUUAAUGCUGUAUUUGGACUGGUUAUUUCCUCUCAUAGUUGUGACACCAGGCUAGCAUCGAAUCCCCAACCAAUUCUUGGAUGACACCUUUCCAAGGUAGAGAAUAUUAUUUCCAGCAUCUCCCACCACCAGAGGAGAAAUGGAUUAUUUAUAAGGUGGUGUCUAUAUCAAUACAUCCUGCUGGCGAAUGUUUGCAUUUCUGAUACCAUGCAGUGAGCACUGCAGCUCUCUGCAAUACUUGGACCCUUCCCAAGGUGGCCAACCAAGACCCGGCACCCAGCUGGCUGCCCUGCACUGACGGGUUUACAGGGCAUCUCAAAAACAAAUGUUUCAUUCUGACACCUGGACAGCAGCAGCCUCUCCAGCUAUCUCCUACAGGGCACUGAUGCCAAACAGAUCUCUAAAAAAUGAUUGUGCCCAAAUAGAUCCUAAUUGACACUCUCAAGCAAGUGCCCAGCGUAACUGAGUGUCCCUCAUGUUGCACAGAGCAGCUUUAAAGGGAUCAUAUAAUUUCAGUGACCUCGGAGUAUGAUGCCAAUGGGCUCGAGCACAUGGAUGGGCAGGGGCCCUUACGUUGCCUGGAUCUGCUGGGCGACCCAGGUUGUGCUUUGUGUGAGCUUUUCCUGGGAAGAGGCCAUUAGCUGAUGCAGAGUUUGUUCAGUUCCUCUCCCGCCCACAGCUUUGAGCAGAGGACGCAGCAAUUUAUCAGGAGUUUCUGCCUAACAGAGGUACAAAGGGGCCCUGCACAGGGUGUGGGAAUUUCCCGCAUGUUAAUGAACCUCAUACUGUAAAAGACUGUAGACCAAAUCCUUCAGUCCUCACACAGACAAAAGUCCACACCGACUUACCCAAAAUCUCCCUGCAAACGCCCAUUCAAGUCAACAGCAUUUUGCCUGGGCGAGUGCUGAGGAUUUGGCCCAGCGGUUGCCGCUGCAAUUGCGCACUGGCAAGAGAAGAAGAUUUACCACAGCCC